AUAGUUUGGACACCAAUGAAAGUAAGGGUUUUGUAUUUGUGGGAUUCAGAAGGAAAGUUGUUGCUCAAUAGGUCAUUGAAGAGCUACAUAACAAACUUUUUAAGGAAAGCUGAAUUAGGGCCUCUCUGUUAAUAUAGUGAUUCUGAAAAAAGUUUUGAUGAAGAGCCAGCAAAACCACAAGCUGCAAAAAAGGUUCGUGUCGUGCUUUUGGGUCGUGUCGGAAAUUCACACCCCUAAAGA